rnacentral:RNase_P_RNA from 1 species
GCGGAUGGCCGGGCGGCCGCGCUUCCCGGGCCUCGCGCCCGCGGGGGUGAGGAAAGUCCGGGCUCCACGGAGGCGCGGCGCCGGGUAACGCCCGGCCGGCGAAGGGGUGACCCCGAGCCGAGGGAAAGCGCCACAGAGAUGAGACCGCCGUUCUCCCCGUUCCGUCAUGGAACGGCAUGGGACGGCAAGGCUGAAACGGUGGGGUAAGAGCCCACCGCGUCCCCGGCGACGGGGACGGCACGGCAAGCCCCGCCGGGAGCAAGAUCAAGUUGGGCCGGCCGCGGGUAUCCUCGGAUGCGCCGCAAGGGGUGGCCUUCGCCCCGCCGGCCAUGGUGGAUCGCGAGAAGCCGGGGGCGACCCCGGUUCCAGAUGAAUGGUCGCCCAGGGGUCUUUCGAGGCCCCGGACAGAACCCGGCUUACAGGCCGUUCGCUGCA